AUUUUAGAGUUGUUUUCUUUUCGUUUUCUAAGGAAUGCAUUGGAAGAAUUCUUUAAAACAUUUGUCUAUACACGUAUAGUUUUGUGAACUGCGGAUACAUUUCGUUCAAACUAUCAUACCAUUAUACCACUAUCAUGCGAAAGUAAUAUUUUGUUUUUUCAUCUAUGAAACAUAUAGUAACAAAGGUGGAACACCUUUCCAAGAAUCACAGGGGACCUGUGUCAUGAAUUAAUAUGAGUUUUUAUCAUUCAUUGUAGGUUAAUAUUGUUCAUAUUAUAUCUCCAAUUUCAGGCCAGACAAAUUGAAAUGAUUGUGAUAAAAAUAUAAAUAUAUCUUGAGCUUAAAUAUAGAAGAUUCUUCACAAAAAUUGCGUUACCAAUUUCUCUAUCACACCGGUCCAUUUGACUCGUAGCGCGUAAAAACAGAACUACGCAAAAGGAGUGUAGCUAAAUCUUUGAAACUAUGGGUAUAAGAUGUAUAUCUCGUUUUUACUUUUCUCUAUCUUUAACAAGGUAGUCAUCAAUGAAGUAAAUUUAAGCACCAGACACCAGAUGGAGUGUAGCUAAAUCUUUGAAACUAUGGGUAUAAGAUGUAUAUCUCGUUUUUACUUUUCUCUAUCUUUAACAAGGUAGUCAUCAAUGAAGUAAAUUUAAGCACCAGACACCAGAUGAAGAAAAGAAAACAUUAGAAGUGAAAGAUGUCUUCGUUUAAAUAUAACGCAACAUUUUGUCAUAUCCCCUGCUUUCAAAAUAUAGUCAAAAAUAUUUUCAAUGCUAUUGCAAUGUUACAGAAAAAUAGCAGUUUAUUAUGCAAGUAAGUUUUCUCCCGCAUUUAAGUUUUAGUAGACUGUCAUUUUACCUAGUAUAUCUAUGUGUGGAAAUAUAGAAAAGUAUAUACCUUCUGUAAAAGUAGAGGAAUUGUCUUUUUAAUUUACGCCUCCAUAUGAGUGAAAUAUUCUCGAACGGGACAUUAAACAAUAUUCAUUCAAUCAAUCAAUCAAUCCUUUUUAUACGCCCAUCUUUAGACGGGACGUAUUAUGGUACAGCGAUGUCUAUACGUCUGUUCGUCCGUUCGUCCGUCCGUCCGUUCGGGGUUUUCUCUUUAUAAUUUCAUUUUACUUUCACAUAUCAUGCUGCAACAUGCUGUGUAGCUUCUCUGUGGGUCACUCUAGAUCAUACUGCAAUUUGGAUGCAUUUCGACCUUUUUUCCAGGAGUGUUGCCCCUUUAUUUGGAAAUAAUUAUUAUAUGGAGGGUACAUAAUUUGUCCACCCUACUCCUCCCACAGUUUUCAAGUGAGAGCCUUCUUAUUAUGCCCCCUUCAAAGAAGAGGGGCAUAUUGGUUUGCACCUGUCGGUCGGUCGUUCGGUCGGUCGGUAGACCACAUGUUGUUCGCUCAAUAUCUUAAGAACCAUUCAUUUGAUGAUAAUGAUAUUUCAUAUGUGGGUUGGUUAUGAGUAGAAGAGGACCCCUUUUGUUUUUCAGCUCAAAAGGUCAAAGGUCAAGGGUCAAUCUACUCUGAACAUAGGAAUAUAAUGUCCGCUCAAUAUCUUGAGAAUCUUUUUUUUGAAAAACAUCAAACUUAGCACAUUGGUGCAUUUUAGGAGUAUAUAUGACCCCUAAUGAUUUUGAGGUCAUAUGGUCAAAUGUCAAGGGUCAAACUGGGCAUAGGAAUAUACUAACCAUUCAAUGUCUAGAGAACUCUUUGCUUGACAGACAAAAAGUUGGUACACCAGUACAUCUUCAGACAAAGAUGACCCCUAUUGAAUUUGAGGUCACAUAGUCAAAGUUCAAGGGUCAAACAGGACAUUAGAAUAUAUUGUCCGCUCAAUAUCUUGAGAACCUUUUGCUUGACAGACUUUAAACUUGGUACACUGGUACACCUUCAGAAGAAAAUGACCCCUAUAUAUUUUGAGGUCACAUGUUUAAAGGUCAAGGGUCAAAGUGGACAUUGGAAUAUACUGACCAUUCAAUGUCUAGAGAACCCUUUGCUUGACAGACAUAAAUUUGGUACACCAGUACAUCUUCAGAAGAAUAUGACCCCUAUUGAAUUUGAGGUCACAUGGUCAAAGGUCAAGAGUCAAACAGGACAUUAGAAUAUACUAUCCGUUCAAUAUCUUGAGAACCCUUUGCUUGACAGACAUCAAACUUGGUACACUGGUACAUCUUUAGGAGAAGAUGAUCCCUAUUGAUUUUGAGGUCACAUGUUUAAAGGUCAAGGGUCAACCUGGAUAUUGGAAUAUACUGUCCGCUCAAUAUCUUGAGAACCCUUUGCUUUACAGACAUCAAACUUAGUACAGUGGUGUAUAUUCAGGAGGAGAUGACUCCUAUUGAUUUUGAGGUCAUAUGGUCUAAGGUCAAACUGGACAUAGUAAAAUACUGUAGUAAUAUCUUGAUAACCCUUUUGCUUGACAGACAUCAAACUUAGUACACUGGUACAUCUUCAGGAGAAGAUGACCCAUAUUGAUUUUGAGGUCAAAAGUCAAUUGUUGAACUGGACAUAGUAAUAUAUUGUCUCCUACAUUUUAAGAAUUAUUUGCUUGAUUGACACCAAAGUUGGUACACUGGUACAUCAUACGGAGUAGAUGACCCUUAUUGAUUUUUAGGUCACAUGGUCAAUUCACUCUUGACAUAGGAAGAUAUUGUCUGCUCAAUAUUUUGAAUUAAUGUUACUACUAUCAAUUAAAUGAUGUCCGUGUAGAACCCUUUUCAAUUUUGCACCAUGGGGGGCAUAUGUGCUUUACCAACAUCUCUUGUUUGUGGAGUGUUUGUAUGGGUAUUGAAGAUGUGCAUGCGGGAUGGAUUUUGAUUUUCUACAAUUUUUGAGAAAAUUACAGGUUGUUGAACUUAGUCUAUUUGGAAAUUAAUAUUCUAUGGGGGGUACAUAGUUUGUCCGCCCAACUCCUCCAACAGUUUUCAAGUGAGGACCUUCUUAUUUUGUGGAGUGUUUGUAUAGGUACUGAAGAUGUGCAUCUGGGGAAGGAUUUUGAAUUUCUUCCAUUUUAAAAAAAAUUACAGGUUGUUGAACUUGGUCCAUUUUGAAGAAAUCUAGAUUUUUAAGCUAAGACCCUUUGUUCAUAUGAAAAUUUGUCACAGCCUCAUGAUGGCUGAUAAUACCUGAAGCAAUGUUAUACAAAUUAUAGCACAAGAAAAACACCCCAUGUAAGCAUUUCAGGGGCGUAUUAUGUACCGUUUGUGGUACUCUUGUUAAUUCUAUUUUGCGAUAAAUUGGAUUUGAUACUUGGUUUGCGGCUUGCUUUAAAAUUAGUGAAAAUAUAAUCGUCGUUGCAACCGAUCAAUUUGCGUUGCAUUAGAAAGUCAUGAAAAAAACUAUGUGAAAUGGUUUCUAUUGGUAAAAUGCUUUUGGAUACACAAAAACAAUAUACACAUAUGUAUGAAAUAGCCAGCCUAAACAUAAAGCCUUUAUUGAUAAAUUGUAUAUCAGUUAAGCAAAUUAUCGUAAAACUUAAUUCAUAAACUCGUGUUAGGAAUGCUACUUCGGUAGACGAAAUAAAAAAAACCCAUAUAUACAUCAAAUUCAAAUAUAAAAAUUAUAUGAUAUUUUUUUCGGAAUAGCAUUUUUUUGCCAAUAUCUACUUUUGUCCCUUGAUCCAGAUCGCGGCCGUGGAGUUUUCGAAAAGUGUGCAAGUGAAACCGUGUUUCUGUUUCAAUGAAAACAACGCAGCGAAACCUUGUAUAACGCUUAUCUUGAAAACGUCCUGAUAUCGUCAGAUGAAGAAGAUGCCCUGAAUAUUCUGCUGCAGGAUACAUUUGAUGAUGACCCAAGAGAUCCUGCACUCAGUAUAAACGAACUUGUAAGUUGAUGUAGCAACACACGCCGACUAGAACAAAUAUGUGUUCGAAAAGUCGUUUUUGUUUUGUUGUGUCAUGAAAACAAAAUCACGAUUUGAUACAAUAAUUUGUCGUUCCAUGUAUGAAAAUAUCUAUGUUUUAUGAUGUAUGUAACAAGUAUAAAACACCAAAUCCUUUAUUAAAAGCUGAAUAUAUCUGGCAUCAGUUGAUCUGUCGAAGAUCCUUGAACAUGAAACAUUUUAAGCUUGAGUCAAAAUUUGAGUAUUGCAAUGAAAUGAUUGAGAUGACAAUCAUUCCAAAGUAAAAUUGUUAUUCACUGUUGCUUUAUCUAAUUUCUAAAGUUUCAGUUCAAAAGCAAUGACUAUCUUACAGGUGAUUGGGAUUUUGACUAACGUCUAAGUUUGCUACAUAAUCCCAGGGCAUUCAUUAGUCUGAUUAAAACCACCCCUUCCUCCCUACCUGACGAGUGUAUGGAAAAAAGGAUGGCUUUAGUGUAAGGCAAAGGGAACGUUUUCAAUCAUACUGGGCAGCCAUGGCCGCUGGUGCGAAUUUUAUGUUCCAAGAAUUUUCUUAGAUGAUCAAAAUCCUAUCUUGCUUUGAAUAGAAAACACAAAUUUUUAAGAAAAGACACACUAUACAUGUAAUCGUAAAAAUAUGCUGUAUACAUUUUUAGGAUCAUUCACUUUCCCCAAGACGUACAGUAUUUUCGCUGGACACUGUAGGUUUUAACCUGAAUCAUGUCUCCCAUCUUCCGAUAGGAGACAUUUUUGUACUUUCUGUCUAUCUGUCCGUCCUUCAUUUGUCCGUCUGUCUGUCACCAAAAUAACGCUUCUCCUCCUAUAUGGCUUAUCGAAUAGAUUUGAAACAAUACUUCACUGCUAUUUGCAGAUGUGCAUAUGGUCGGGACUGGAGUAUCCAAUUAUUUUCCUAAACGCUUUAGCGGAUCUAAGAGAAUUGGAGAAUGCUAAAAUAGCUUGCGCUUCUCCUCCUAUAUGGCUUAUCUGAUAGACUUUAAAACUUUUACAAUACUUCAAUGCCAUUUCCUUAAAGUUAUAGUGGAUAUGAGGGUGGAGGUCGCACAAUAGGUUGUAAAAACUUUUUCUAUAUGGCUUAUCCGAGUUCAUAAUGUAUAUGUUCCUGCUCAUGCUUUCUCCUCCAUACCAUGUAGUGCAUUAAGGAGAUGAUGUUUCAUUUGGAACACAACCAAUUUGGGGGAGCUGGGAGACAUUUGUUUUUUGUUUUUGUUUUAAUAAAAAACAAUCUCUAUUUCAUUCUAUAUUUGCAUCCAUGUAUAUGCUAGGCAUCAUGCUGAGGCUAUCAUUUUUAUUAUGCACUUUGCUACACUGACAAUGUACAUGUAUCCUGAAAUUAUUCCAUACGUUUCUAACAAAUUUACUCCCUUACCAAAUAUCAAUUCAAAUAUAGGGCAUAUCUAUCUUUAAAUACAGUUGCCCAGUACUUUCAUACGAAACUGUUCUCUGCUACCAUACAACUUAGGUUGCUUUAAACAUAAACCAAGGAUUCUUAAUUGUAUUUUUUAUCUUUACAAAGGGUAUUGGCAUUCAAUCUUUAGUGGGAAGUUCCAUUGUAUCUUCCACUAGUGAUAAUCCACUGGGAAAUACAUAUUUGCAUUGGAAGGAUACUGAUAUGGAGGGUACAUGGGAAACGGAUCCCGGAAUACUGAUACUUCAUUCGAAGUUACAACCUGACAUUGAGUUGAUUUUGGGCCCGAAUGUUCUGAUUUGACGGAGGCGUUGGUUUUCUCUAUUUGUGUUGCCACCGGUCAUUAUGCUGGCAUAGUCAUAUCUAGGGGGCAGGGUUGUCAUAUGCUUCCCAAGGAAGUUAGCAGCCUCUCACUGGAGAGGAACUGUACAGGUCUUUGAGUAUUGUCUGUCUGCUGUGAAGUUCCAGUCGAUAUACAAUUAUUGUGGUCAACUUAUGUCCCUACUGGAACAACCCAUGACCAAAAUUAUGUAUAGAAAUAAGUGUUAAGAAUUUAAUAUGAAAAGAACAUGUUUCUAAAAUAUGAUGCAAGUACAAUUGAAUUUAGUAAUUGAAAGUGAACACUUGAACAUUCGUAUAGUUUGUACUUGGAAAGGAAUACUUUUUGAUAAUAUUUGUAAUAGUGUUGGUGCUUAGCAACCAAGUGAAAGGUGAGAUAACGAACAGUGAUCAAUCUCAUAACUCUUAUAAGCAAUACAAAGUAGAGAGUUGAACAAACACGGACUCCUGGAUAUACCAGGUUGGAUCAGGUGCCCAGGAGGAGUAAGCACCCCUGUCGACCGGUCUAACCCGCUCUGAGCCAUAUUAUCUUGAUCAGGUAAAUGGAGUUUUCCGUAGUCAAAACCAAAUAUAUUCUAAUACAAAAUUUAGACUAUCUUAGAUUAACAGUAAACACCUUUCUUUUGAUAUUGCAUUAUUUGUUCUAUUUAGUAUUUAGCAGAACAUCAUAUUGUUUGAAAUUGAAAUAGGAAUUUUCACUUGAUGAUUUUUACCCUAAUUCUUAUAUUAUAUCUAUCAUAGCUUAUGUUAAAAAUCUUUGACGAUCAAGAUAUAUCUAAAGAUUAUAUUUUAAAAUCGAGCUACAGUUAUAUAAUUAUGUUUAGAUUGUGUCGAAUGCGGAUUACGGUCAAAAUUGUAGUAAGUGUUGUUAUUUAGCAACCAAGGCAUUUAUUUGUCAAUAUGAUUGAUUCAAUUUAUUGUGAUGUUUUUGUAGUAUUUGAAAAGACGCAAAAACUAAAAACGGUAUAAAACCGAAAACAAUCAAUCAAUCAAUCAAUACAUUUAGAAUUUCUUAUUCUAAUCCAUUGAUUGUAUAUAUCUUGUUUAAUGUCUCUCUCGAGAGUUUUUCACUCAUACGAAGACGUCACCAAGACUUGUGAAAGGCUUCAAAUUUAGGCCUUUGCUCGGCGCUUAUGACAAUUGAGCAAUGGGGGUUCUUUAACGUGCCACAUCUACUGUGACGCGGGACAUCCGUUUUAAGGUCAUCUUCGAGGACCCAUGACAUUUGCACCUGAUGCCGAGCGUUUGGCGAUGGAACUGUCAUUACCAGUUUUAAUGACUUAGGUCUAGAGUCCAUUACGACAUAUUCUAAUCCAAUGAGAGGGGUCUUAAUACACGGCGGGUGUGACCGGUCAACAGGGGAUGCUUGCUCCUCCUAGGCGCCUGAUCCCACCUCUGGUGUGUCCAGGGGUCCGUGUUUGCCCAACUAUCUAUUUUGUAUUGCUUAUAGGGGUUAUGAGAUUGAUCACUGUUCGUUAUAUUCACCUUGCAUAUAUAUAUAUAUAUAUAUAUAUAUAUAUAUAUAUAUAUAUAUAUAUAUAUCAAUGAAUAUGAAUGAAUCAAUGAAUAUUGAUAUAUAUAUAUAUAUAUAUAUAUAUAUAUAUAUCAAUGAAAAGCAUCCACUUAUUUGACCUUAGACCCCGUAUACCUCUUUGUGUAACGUCCCUCUCAAGAUUAUUUCAUUCAUAUGGAGACGUAGCCAUUGCUGGUGAAGGGCUGCAGAAUUUAAGCCUACGGUCGGCAUUUAUGGCCAUAGAUCAGAAAGGGAUCUUUAUCGUGUCACACCUGCUAUGACACGGGACCUAGAUGUUUCGGGGUUUGCGAUCUCAUCCAAAGGACCACCUCCUCUAGUCGCCUCUUACGACAAGCAAGGGGGCACUGAGGACCCAUUCUAACCCGGAUUCCCAUGGGAUAAUAAAAUCAUAUGCCAUAUGCCUACCCCAAAUUGAGGCAUAUAUAGAUUUAAAUUGAUUAAAAGAUAUUGUCAUUUUGUUUCUAAAUACCACUAACAUUUGCUGGUAGAGAUACAGUUAAGGCAAGUACCUCCUCAGCUUUUGAGCACAACUCCUGGAUGGUUUGACUAUGUAGAUAAUGAUCCAAUAAUUAUUUUAUUUGCCCAAAUACUUAACCAAAGGAGUUGAAAAUAUGUCGAUUCAAAUUUUGAAUGAUUUGGAAAGGACUGAAUUUUGCGACGAAAACAUUCUUUCAUCAAAAAGAUAUGUAAGAUUUCACAGAUGUUGUUUGAUCCAAUACAUUGCCAAUAAUUAUACAUGUACCCCUAGACGUAUAUUCCAUUUUCUUUAAUUUAUGAUACAAGUAGUAGAGACUUGAAAUUAGAUACGACGUUGUAAAUUUAUUACUUUUCUUCAUUGUUUUUCAAGACAACGCCGAUAAUUAAAAGCAUAUAUGAUAAUUUACGCGAAAUAUUUAUGAAAACUCUGUAUUUUUGCCAAUAAUUAAAAGCAAUUUAUCUAUACCACACAUCUUCGUUCAUAAAUUUGAAGACUUUGUGAUUUAUAUUCAAUAAAGAAUUACAAUAUGUGUACUCCUAAUGUGUUCUCUUGAGCUUUUAAAAUCUGUAUAUUUAUUUUAUCCAUGUAUUAAGUGCAAAAGGUCACCAUUUAUUUCCAGUUACAAUCUACUAGUGUUAAACUUCGUUACAUGGAAAACACGAAGGGAUAUUUGAAGGAUGAAUGGUUGAGUUAUUUAUGUUGUGUUGAAAACUUGAAACCACCAGAUAUAUCAAGUUAAUCUUAAUAACUCUAGCAUAGAGUUUAAGUACCGAAAGUCAAGCUUUACAAACUCUAGCUCAGAAACAAGCCCUAGAACCCCAUUUUCUCUUUUGAAUUUCAUAAUUUUCGUUCAACGUAGAAAAGAAUCUGCUUCCAAAAUUACCAAUACCACAGACUCUUGUGCAAACUCCUUUAAGGAUGGUCUUUGUCAUCAUUCAGAGAAAUUGAAAGAUAUUCACCUUUUUACAUAUAUUUUCUCCAGUUAAAACAUGUGAAUCAUGAAACCACAUUACUCUUUCUUACUUGCAUUUGUAUCAUUUUAUCCUUAAAUGGGUCUGGUUAACUUUAUGUAUAGGGGGCUAUAUAUUCAACGCAAUCAACAUCGUAGGAAAAUAUCAAUUUGAAAAAGACAAAUACGAAAAUAUUGAUUUUUGUCUCAAGUAGCACAAAUCACAACAAGAAAAUACUUUCAAGACUAUGGGAAUAAGAAACAAAGUGUAGUAAUGGUUCAUGAUAUUGUGAACUUACUACCUCUCUUGUGGUCCUAUGAUAUCUUCUGACCCUAACAUUUUUAAAGACAAAAAUCAGCGUAUUUCUUUUCUUUUAUGAUACUAUACCCUUACUUUUGUUUAUGUCGAUAAGCACUUCAUUACUGCAGUGUUAUGUUUGUUAACGUCCCUUCAACAAUUUGUCACUCAUAUUGAGACAUCACUAACUGUAAAUGAAGUAUCACAAAUUUAGACCUACAUGUACACUGUAUGCUUAGCGCACAGGGUCGUAGCGCUGAGGGUUGUUUAACGUGCCAACGCCUGCUGUGACACGAGACCAACGUUUUUAAGGUCAUAUCCGAAAAAAGCCUGUGAUUCUCAUGCUCAAAUAUCGAUAGGUUGGCGAAGGAGUAAUCACUACGCAUGUUGACGUUUUAGAUUUGAUGUGGUAAUAAUACGAGUGUGGCUUGAACUCAAGACCUCCCGGUUACAAAGCGCACGUUUUACCCCUGAACUACUGCGACCGGUCUGUUCUCAUUUGAAAACAUCCAAAAGGUACAUGUAUAGGUAGUAGAAAUAUGACAUAAAUAACGCUCAAUGUGAACGUGCAAUUGAUCUACGUCCGUCGUCGUGCGUUUGAACAUUUUUAACUUCUUGAUACCUACCAUCCCUAUCAUUUCCGUAUUUGAUUUAAUGCAUCUUUGGGGAAAGGGAAUAUUUUUCGUCAGGACACCUGCACUCCCAUGGUCUAAGGGUCGGGAUAAACACUGUCAAUUUUUUUUUUUACAAUUUUCAAAAUCUUCUCUACAACCGAUUAUCAAAAUAUGAAAAUUAUACCAUUUUUCUAUUUUGUGUAUAAUAAUUCUAUUAGAAUUAACCAACGCGGUGGUCUAGAGGUAGAGCGUUCGCCCUGCAUGCGGAAGGUCGGAGUUUUAAUCCCGACCGCGACAUACAUAAGUCGUUAAAACAGGUAGUUGCAGUUACAUCACCAAACGCUCGGCAUCAUGUAUGAACGUAACUAGUUGCAAUAAUGUAGCCUUAUCCGAUUUUUUUAAAUUCUGACAUUUUCGGGAUAGGGCUACAAUUCCACAGGAUCUCCGUUAUGGUGCGAAUUUGUUUUAUGAAUAACCGAUAAUAAGCUCCGUGUAUUAGUCCAAAAUGUUGUUUACACCAAUAUGAGUACCCACUUUGUGCUUGGGCAUGUCUAAUAAAGGUGUUUUUCAUUAAACAUCAAGUACAGCAUGCGAAAUUCUUCGUCAGCUCCGUCAUGCCUCUUAUCGCGAGAUCUCGUAGGUGGAUCUACUGAAAAACCUAAACAUUGACAAUGUGCGUAUAGUUAUCGGAGUCACUCCGACAAAGAAAGGAAAAGCAUAUGGUUGCACUCUGCUGUUCGUCUUUUAACUUGAUAUUAAAUUUAAACCUUUUAAUACCGACGAAAUAGCCUUUUCCUCAGUACUUGCCCAUUGAUGUAAAUACUACCUUAUAUGGCAUAUGCAAAUAACAUGACAAUCGGAAGUUGAAACUUCAGUACAUCAAACAUGGCGCACAUAUAUAAAUCGAGAAAUUGGAAUAUUUCAAAAUUGUUGAAAACGGUAGAAUAGAGCCUCACAAAUCGUAAGUUGCAGGUAUAUUGACUAAGAAACAAAGGUAUAUAAUUUUAUUUACGUAAAGAAAGUUAGCAAAUGUUUAGAAUUAUCGAAAA